rnacentral:rRNA from 1 species
AAUGCUCCAUAGUGGAUAUGUCCUGGAAUGGUAUAUCCUCGAAAGAUCCGUCGCCUUAGGAUGGGACUGCGUCCGAUUAGGUUGUUGGCGGGGUAACGGCCCACCAAGCCUUUUAUCGGUACGGGUUGUGGGAGCAAGAUCCCGGAGAUGGAUUCUGAGACAUGAAUCCAGGCCCUACGGGGCGCAGCAGGCGCGCAAACUUUACAAUGCGAGCAAUCGUGAUAAGGAAACCCUGAGUGCCUGUCGAUGCAGGCUGUUCAUAUAUCUAAAUCAUAUGUGAAGAAAGGGCAGGGCAAGACCGGUGCCAGCCGCCGCGGUAAUACCGGCUGCUCGAGUGAUGGCCACUAUUACUGGGUUUAAAGCGUCCGUAGCUUGACUGUUAGGUCUCUUGGGAAAUCUUCGCGCUCAACGUGAAGGCGUCUAAGAGAUACCGGCAGUCUUGGAACUGGGAGAGGUAAACCGUACUUCGGGGGUAGGAGUGAAAUCUUGUAAUCCUCGAGGGACGACCUAUGGCGAAGGCAGUUUACCAGAACAGCUUCGACAGUGAGGGACGAAAGCUGGGGGAGCAAACGGGAUUAGAUACCCCGGUAGUCCCAGCCGUAAACAAUGUGCGUUAGGUGUGUCGGUAACCACGUGUUACUGAUGCGCCGAAGAGAAAUCGUGAAACGCACCACCUGGGAAGUACGGUCGCAAGGCUGAAACUUAAAGGAAUUGGCGGGGGAGCACCACAACAGGUGGAGCCUGCGGUUUAAU